CUAAGUAUGAAGUCUUGCCAUCUUUAUGUUUCCUUUGUAGAAAGCAGUGAAUGCAUCCGCAGUGCAUAACCGUGUAAAAGAGCUCGGAUGUCACUGCUUUCCAAGCUCUUGAAGGACAAGUGCUCAUCUUGGCUGUCAAGGACCUCACUUCAGAACCCCAUGGAAUUGGCUACUUGCAAGAUGAGGAGAUAGGAGAAGCAGCAGAAGAAAGGAACCACUUUCCUGCUUCCUUCUAUUGUGAAGAGAAUUGAACCCAGAGUAUCACUUGGAUAAGGAAACAAGACUGUUGGCAAUUCAGGCUUUCAUUGCAUUGAUUAGCUACUUCCUCAAUAUGGAGCCACUCUUGACAAAUGCAGCCAGAAUUUGACCAAAACAAACCAAAAAAUGGUAACUGCUCAACAGAAA